rnacentral:ncRNA from 1 species
AGUCAGACCGGAAGGACUGGUGGAGCGCUUAGAAGUGAGAAUGCCGGUAUGAGUAGCGAAAGACGGGUGAGAAUCCCGUCCACCGAAUGCCUAAGGUUUCCUGAGGAAGGCUCGUCCGCUCAGGGUUAGUCGGGACCUAAGCCGAGGCCGAAAGGCGUAGGCGAUGGACAACAGGUUGAUAUUCCUGUACCACCUCCUCACCAUUUGAGCAAUGGGGGGACGCAGGAGGAUAGGGUAAGCGCGGUAUUGGAUAUCCGCGUCCAAGCAGUUAGGCUGGGAAAUAGGCAAAUCCGUUUCCCGUAAAGGCUGAGCUGUGAUGGCGAGCGAAAUUUAGUAGCGAAGUUCCUGAUUCCACACUGCCAAG